UGCUUCGGUUUGACAUGCGCAUGUCUGUGCGGCAAGCAGGCUCCCGCUGGCAUUUCUCACCGCCAGCGCCCAUAGGCCAGAAAGCAAAAGUUGCUUGCUGGACGUGAGACAUUGUCACUGCAAAGUCAACCGUGCAAUCCUGUGAGGAACUAACUGUCCCCCAAGUAGAGACUAGAACCAGAUCUGAGGCUGAGAAGGGUAUGAGAAGGACCCGAAAAGUGUCUUGAGCCAGCUAUAUUACUGUAGGUUCUCCUGAGAAGCAGAAUGAGUAGGAUGGAGAGAAAGAAUGAUUGAAAAAGAGAUCAAUUGAUUUUAAGAAAUUGAAUUACAUCAUUUACAGAGGCUGGCAAGUCCAAAAGCCAUGAAGCAGGCAGAAGGCUGGAAACUCAGAAACUUUUGGAAAGAAAUGAAAAAUGACAGAUGCAGAGAAAGUCUCUUAACACCUUACUCAGUCCUAUAGCCUGAAUCACUCCUUGGACCCUCCUACCUGCCUCCUUCCCUUUUCAGAGAAAACUAAUAUAUUAUAGAUUGUGUAACCUUCCUAUUUUUGUUUUUAUUACUUUUCCCAUAUAUGUAUAGCACCAUCAAACUUAUAGGUAACAGUUUACAUUAUUUAAAUUUUGUAUGAUAUAUAUUUACAACCUAAUUUUUAAUUUACCUUUGUGCUUUCAAAAUGUACCAAAGUUAACACAUGUAGAUGUGCUUCAUUUAUUUUGACUGCUAGGUAGUAUUCUAUAUUAAAAAUACUGUAAUUUAGCUAAUCACUUCUUUAUCAAUAAAUAUUUAGAUGGUUUCUUAAUUUUUUUCUUUUAUCAAUAGUGAUGCAAGAAAUAGUCUUGUACAUGUCUUCUCAUGGGCAUAUACAAGUGUUUCUCUAGAGCAUACUCCUAGCAGUGGAAUUUCUGGAAAAUGCGUUACACUUGUAGUCUAUUUUGCUUGACUAUCUAAGUAUUUUUUUCAAAGUGCUUGAUCAAUUUACAUUACUGCCAGCCAGCAGGGUAUUAGAAUUUGUUUUCCCACUCCUCCAAAAGCUAGGUAUUGUCAGAGGUCUCAGUUGUCAGGGGUCUGCCAAAGCUAAAUGUGAAGCAAUAUUUCAUUUUCAAACCGAUGAGAAUUCUCCCUCCACUGUUCAGAUUUAAGAUCUUUUCUCCAUUUCUGCCAUUCUAGCUUCUUCUUCCAUAGGCAUUUCAGUCAUAUUAUUUGUCCACUUUUCUUUAAAAAAUUUUUUUUAAUGUUUUAUUUAUUUUUGAGACAGAGAGAGACAGAGCAUGAGCAGGGGAGGGGCAGAGAGAGAGGAACACACAGAAUC